rnacentral:tRNA from 1 species
GCCUGGCUAGCUCAGUCGGUAGAGCAUGAGACUCUUAAUCUCAGGAUCCCAGGGUCGUGGGUUCGAGCCCCACGUUGGGCG